UCUUUCUUUGCAUCUCCUCCAGCGUUCUUCUGCCACACAGUUUCUCUCUCUACUUUAACAACAAAAGCAAAAAGCGUAAGAUAAGACGUAAGCAAGAAUUUGCUUUCUGGAAUCUUCUUUUCUUCCUGUCCUCUAUUAUUCUUCCUCCUGUGUAACAUUCUUCUUCCUCUUCCCUCUCCUGUAUAAUCACAAACAACAACAAAAGAGGAAUAACUCUUAACAGAAAUUCAUUACUUCCUUCAUUCGGUUUGUUGGUUCACUUGAUCGAUCUUCUUUAGUCUGCUGCGUCGGUUUGUUCUUUGGAAAUGAUCGACCCUAAGUAUGCUUAUCCAUAUCCUGCCCAAGGGAAUUACCAAGGGCCACCUGUAAUGGAGACCCAAUGAGAAAGAGCGCUGCUCACUGAAGAAAGUGGUUUUGAUCGAAAAGUAUGGAGAAGGGGGUUUUAGUUCAUAGAUAAUAGGUAUUUUACAUGUAUGAGGGUAGUUAUUUUUGUGUUUAGGGGGAGUUAUUUUUGAGUGUAGCGCCAAGUUGAUAUUUCGUCAUAGUUCAGCAGAGGGGAAUGAUAUUUCCUCAAAAAUUUUAAAUGAAACUAUAGCACCCCGGCCCCAUUAGCCUUGAUAGAAUAUUGUCUUUUUUGUCUCA